UAGGAGGGGGCUAGCGUUGUUCGGAAUUACUGGGCGUAAAGCGCGCGUAGGCGGACCUGCAAGUCGGGGGUGAAAGCCCGAGGCUCAACCUCGGAACUGCCUUCGAUACUGCGGGUCUCGAGUCCGGGAGAGGUGAGUGGAAUUCCUAGUGUAGAGGUGAAAUUCGUAGAUAUUAGGAAGAACACCAGUGGCGAAGGCGGCUCACUGGCCCGGUACUGACGCUGAGGCGCGAAAGCGUGGGGAGCAAACAGG
rnacentral:rRNA from 1 species